rnacentral:rRNA from 1 species
AUACGUAUGGGGCAAGCGUUAUCCGGAAUUAUUGGGCGUAAAGAGUGCGUAGGUGGUUACCUAAGCGCAAGGUUUAAUCUUGAGGCUCAACCUCAUUCUGCCUUGCGAACUGGGCUACUUGAGUGCAGGAGGGGAAAGCGGAAUUCCCCGUGUAGCGGUGAAAUGCGUAGAUAUUGGGAAGACCACCGGUGGCGAAGGCGGCUUUCUGGACUGUAUCUGACACUGAGGCACUAAAGCGUGGGGAGCAAACAGGAUUAGAUACCCUGGUAGUCCACGCCGUAAACGAUGAGCACUAGUUGUUGGGUACGAAUGUAUUCAGUGACGCAGUUAACGCAAUAAGUGCUCCGCCUGGGGAGUACGGUGGCAACACUAAAACUCAAAGGAAUUGGCGGGG